rnacentral:rRNA from 1 species
AGAGUUUGAUCMUGGCUCAGGAUGAACGCUGGCGGCGUGCCUAACACAUGCAAGUCGAGCGAUUUACUUCGGUAAAGAGCGGCGGACGGGUGAGUAACGCGUGGGUAACCUGCCCUGUACACACGGAUAACAUACCGAAAGGUAUGCUAAUACGAGAUAAUAUGCUUUUAUCGCAUGGUAGAAGUAUCAAAGCUUUUGCGGUACAGGAUGGACCCGCGUCUGAUUAGCUAGUUGGUAAGGUAACGGCUUACCAAGGCGACGAUCAGUAGCCGACCUGAGAGGGUGAUCGGCCACAUUGGAACUGAGACACGGUCCAAACUCCUACGGGAGGCAGCAGUGGGGAAUAUUGCACAAUGGGCGAAAGCCUGAUGCAGCAACGCCGCGUGAGCGAUGAAGGCCUUCGGGUCGUAAAGCUCUGUCCUCAAGGAAGAUAAUGACGGUACUUGAGGAGGAAGCCCCGGCUAACUACGUGCCAGCAGCCGCGGUAAUACGUAGGGGGCUAGCGUUAUCCGGAAUUACUGGGCGUAAAGGGUGCGUAGGUGGUUUCUUAAGUCAGAGGUGAAAGGCUACGGCUCAACCGUAGUAAGCCUUUGAAACUGGGAAACUUGAGUGCAGGAGAGGAGAGUGGAAUUCCUAGUGUAGCGGUGAAAUGCGUAGAUAUUAGGAGGAACACCAGUUGCGAAGGCGGCUCUCUGGACUGUAACUGACACUGAGGCACGAAAGCGUGGGGAGCAAACAGGAUUAGAUACCCUGGUAGU